rnacentral:rRNA from 1 species
AUUGAACGCUGGCGGCAGGCCUAACACAUGCAAGUCGAACGGUAACAGGAAGCAGCUUGCUGCUUCGCUGACGAGUGGCGGACGGGUGAGUAAUGUCUGGGAAACUGCCUGAUGAAGGGGGAUAACUACUGGAAACGGUAGCUAAUACCGCAUAACGUCGCAAGACCAAAGAGGGGGACCUUCGGGCCUCUUGCCAUCGGAUGUGCCAGAUGGGAUUAGCUAGUAGGUGGGGUAACGGCUCACCUAGGCGACGAUCCCUAGCUGGUCUGAGAGGAUGACCAGCCACACUGGAACUGAGACACGGUCCAGACUCCUACGGGAGGCAGCAGUGGGGAAUAUUGCACAAUGGGCGCAAGCCUGAUGCAGCCAUGCCGCGUGUAUGAAGAAGGCCUUCGGGUUGUAAAGUACUUUCAGCGGGGAGGAAGGCGAUAAGGUUAAUAACCUUGUCGAUUGACGUUACCCGCAGAAGAAGCACCGGCUAACUCCGUGCCAGCAGCCGCCGCCG